CAGGACGAACGCUGGCGGCGUGCCUAAUACAUGCAAGUCGAACGGUCUUUCUAUGGAAGCUUGCUUUCACUGAGAGGAUAGUGGCGGACGGGUGAGUAACACGUGGGGUAACCUGCCCAUAAGAGGGGGAUAACAUCCGGAAACGGGUGCUAAUACCGCAUAGUUUUCUUGAUCGCAUGAUCGGGAAAGGAAAGACGGCCUUUGUGCUGUCGCUUAUGGAUGGACCCGCGGCGUAUUAGUUAGUUGGUGAGGUAACGGCUCACCAAGACGAUGAUACGUAGCCGACCUGAGAGGGUGAUCGGCCACAUUGGGACUGAGACACGGCCCAAACUCCUACGGGAGGCAGCAGUAGGGAAUCUUCCGCAAUGGACGAAAGUCUGACGGAGCAACGCCGCGUGAGUGAAGAAAAGGUUUUCGGAUCGUAAAACUCUGUUGUCAGAGAAGAACAAGUUGGAGAGUAACUGCUCCAGCCUUGACGGUAUCUGACCAGAAAGCCACGGCUAACUACGUGCCAGCCGCCGC
rnacentral:rRNA from 1 species